rnacentral:rRNA from 1 species
UCUCCUGGAAAACGGGUGGUAAUGCCGGAUGCUCCGACUCCUCGCAUGGGGUGUCGGGAAAGAUUUCAUCGGUAUGGGAUGGGGUCGCGUCCUAUCAGGUAGUCGGCGGGGUAACGGCCCACCGAGCCUACGACGGGUAGCCGGCCUGAGAGGGCGACCGGCCACAUUGGGACUGAGAUACGGCCCAGACUCCUACGGGAGGCAGCAGUGGGGAAUAUUGCACAAUGGGCGCAAGCCUGAUGCAGCGACGCCGCGUGCGGGAUGACGGCCUUCGGGUUGUAAACCGCUUUUGAUCGGGAGCAAGCCUUCGGGUGAGUGUACCUUUCGAAUAAGCACCGGCUAACUACGUGCCAGCAGCCGCGGUAAUACGUAGGGUGCAAGCGUUAUCCGGAAUUAUUGGGCGUAAAGGGCUCGUAGGCGGUUCGUCGCGUCCGGUGUGAAAGUCCAUCGCUUAACGGUGGAUCUGCGCCGGGUACGGGCGGGCUGGAGUGCGGUAGGGGAGACUGGAAUUCCCGGUGUAACGGUGGAAUGUGUAGAUAUCGGAAAAGAACACC